AUUGAACGCUGGCGGCAUGCUUUACACAUGCAAGUCGAACGGUAACAGGCCGCAAGGUGCUGACGAGUGGCGAACGGGUGAGUAAUGCAUCGGAACGUGCCCAGUCGUGGGGGAUAACGCAGCGAAAGCUGUGCUAAUACCGCAUACGAUCUGUGGAUGAAAGCGGGGGACCUUCGGGCCUCGCGCGAUUGGAGCGGCCGAUGUCAGAUUAGGUAGGUGGUGGGGUAAAGGCUCACCAAGCCGACGAUCUGUAGCUGGUCUGAGAGGACGACCAGCCACACUGGGACUGAGACACGGCCCAGACUCCUACGGGCGGCAGCAGUGGGGAAUUUUGGACAAUGGGCGCAAGCCUGAUCCAGCAAUGCCGCGUGCAGGAAGAAGGCCUUCGGGUUGUAAACUGCUUUCGUACGGAGCGAAAAGGCUACCUCGAAUACAGGGGGCUCAUGACGGUACCGUAAGAAUAAGCACCGGCUAACUACGUGCCAGCCGCCGCAGUAACAC
rnacentral:rRNA from 1 species